CCGCGAAUAGCUCAUUACANUAGCCGUUGUUUCUUGGAUCCUCAAUUUACUUGGAUACCUGUGGUAAUUCUAGAGCUAAUACAUGCGACUAAGGGCCGAACUCACGUGACGCUUGCAUUUAUUAGAUCAAGACUAACCGGCUUCGGCCGUUAACUUGGUGACUCUGAAUAACUCAGCUGAUCGCACGGUCUAGUGCCGGCGACAUAUCUUUCAAGUGUCUACCUUAUCAACUGUCGAUGGUAGUUUAUGUGACUACCAUGGUUGUAACGGGUAACGGAGAAUCAGGGUUUGACUCCGGAGAGGGAGCCUGAGAAACGGCUACCACUUCUAAGGAAGGCAGCAGGCGCGCAAAUUACACAAUCUCAGCACGAGGAUGUAGUGACGAAACAUACCGAGGCGAUGCCCUUUCGGGUGUCGUCAUUGGAAUGAGUCGAAUCUAAAAAAUUCGGCAAGGAUCUAGUGGAGGGCAAGUCUGGUGCCAGCAGCCGCGGUAAUUCCAGCUCCGCAAGUGUAUAUCUAUGCUGUUGCGGUUAAAAAGCUCGUAGUUUGAUUCGCGUACUUAGCACGCAGUGUGGCCUUUCGGCUACUACUGUGAUGCGGUACAUUAUCGUCAGUUUGUCGUUGAUGCUCUUCAUUGGGUGUCAGCGGCGGCUGUCAAGUUUACUUUGAACAAAUUAAAGUGCUCAAUACAGGCGUUUCGCUUGUAUAGUUCUGCAUGGAAUAAUAGAAUAGGACUUACGUUCUAUUGUGUUGGUUUUCAGAACGAAAGUAAUGAUUAAGAGGGACAGACGGGGUCAUUCGUACUGCCACGUUAGAGGUGAAAUUCUUGGAUCGUGGCAAGACGAACUACUGCGAAAGCAUUUGACAAGAAUGUUUUCAUUAAUCAAGAACGAAAGUUAUG
rnacentral:rRNA from 1 species